GACGGAGGGCGCUAGCGUUGUUCGGAAUCACUGGGCGUAAAGGGCGCGUAGGCGGCCUGUUAAGUCGGGGGUGAAAGCCCGGGGCUCAACCCCGGAACGGCCUUCGAGACUGGCGGGCUCGAGACCGGGAGAGGAGGGUGGAAUACCCAGUGUAGAGGUGAAAUUCGUAGAUAUUGGGUGGAACACCGGUGGCGAAAGCGGCUCUCUGGUCCUGUUCUGACGCUGAGGCGCGAAAGCGUGGGGAGCAAACAGG
rnacentral:rRNA from 1 species